rnacentral:hammerhead_ribozyme from 1 species
ACCCAGCUGUCGAGUCCAAAACAGGGCGAAAUGCGCAUCUUGGAU